UUGCCAAGAGAAUAACUAAAAAAAGAAACAAAUAAAAUCCCCCCAAUCCCUAAAAUAUAAUGCACCUCAACUUUAAUCAAUACAAGCCCAUUUAUAGAAAUGAGGCUGAGAGGCAGAGAAAGAGUUUUGUUCCUUAGGAACAAUUGUAUACUUAGAACACCAGUGUAUCUAUCAAUAUAUAUUAAGGACACCAGUGAUGUCUGUUAAAAGAAUAAUUUUUCAGUUUGAAUAGGGAAAAAUGCAUGUGUAUGAACAUAUCUGAAAAAAAAUUUUGGUUUGACAUAUAUUUGUGUGCCAGAAAUUUAUAUAUGUAGACCAUCUGAAUUUGUAUGCAGGUACAAAACACCAGAUAUUUAAUAUCAGUCUGAAGGUGAAAAACAUCUCCACAUAGGUAGAACGUAGAAGUGUACAACCAUGGGACUCUGCUAACAUUGGAGAAUCCAAAUGAUCUCAGUAAAAGUUAGCUUGAAAUGUCAGCACAUUUGGAAUGCUUAAUGUUUUCUUAAUUUCUUGACAAAACACGGUUCAUAAGUAAAGAUGCAAUUAUCCAAAUUCAAAUGCUUUAAAAUGCUGCUAUUACUCCUUGAAUUAGAUCCACGGAAUUAUUAGGUCUUACGUACUAAUUCUGAGCUCUCUUACGGGAAAGACAGAAAAUAGUGGAGCACAAGAAAUCCAACACAGUUCAAAAAAGAUAAUAAUCUUCAGGGUUUACAAAUAUACAAACAUCUAAAUAAUGGAUUUGUCAAAGAUAGACCCUUAAUGAAAUUAAUAUUUCAUGACCUGGUUUUCAAGGACCUAAGGAACAAAUUUUGUCAUUUGUGUGCAUGUAAAAGGUCUGUGAGUGUGAUGAGCAGUAGGGUACUGUGUGCGCUUUCAUGCGUAAGUAGUGCUUGAGGCUGGAAAGCACUUUGGUAUGAGCAGAGUAUCAGAAGUUUCCAGAUGGGCUUCUACAUCUCCACCACUAUUCAUCUUCUUUUUCAGCACUUCUCUCUCUGUCAACCCAAGGCACCUGCAGUGCUGCAACAGUUACAUCUACGAACUCUGUGUGUCUGGCUUUUUUUUAUCAUUGAGGACAACUAAACCACCUCACUAGCCACCUAGCUCCAGAGAGGGACAUACUUUACAGAUCUAUGGACCCUCUUCUCUAGAAUAUAUUUAUGCCUUGCUAAUAGUUUUUGCAUUAUGUCACAAAGACACUAGUAUUUUUUUUUUCCAUCCAUAGCGCUAAAGCUCUUAAGCAGACUAAUUUUGAGUGUUGCAGUCACAUAUUUCAGUUAUUGCAGUAUCCUUUGGUUUUAUUCCUGAUGAAUGCAGCCAAAUACUGUUCAAAUCUAUUGGGACUACGUCUGUCAAGACUGUUAUCCCCAUCCACCUCUUCGGAUUUAUCAUAAUGCUGUCUGUCUCUUUGCACUGUGUCCUGAUUCUCUACAGUAACAAAGGCAAUAGUCCUCUCUUUCUGCUUCAGUGACACAAUAAUUAGUACUAAAAGGCCUCCAUGUGAGAACACUGUGAGAACACUUCCCAUCAUCUCUUUCAAUUUUUAGAUGUGCAUUUCCAAUUUGUGCAUAUUUCUUUCUACUUGGUUUAGGAAAAUAGUCCCCAUAAACGUGUUUACAAACCUGCUUUGCUGUCUGACCUCCAAAAGCCUAUUCCAUUGACUAGUGAUAUGAUAUAGUUUCCUUCAGGUUUUCCAUCAGGCUGUCUGGUUUCAUCUGGUGUAAGCAUUCCCUUUUUGUUCUCAUUAGUGCACGGUCUGAAGUAAUGGGGGACAUCAUUCCUGGCUAAAUUUUUCAGUUUGCUUGGGUAAUAUAUCAGUUAUUAGUGAUAGCCUUCUUGAUCACACAAAGCUAAACUGAGAGUAACUCCACUGAUUUUAAGAAAUAACCCAAGUUUUUAUGUAAAUAAUAGAGAACAAAAAUUUUUCCUUAUUUUGGGUUUUCUGUUCACAUUUGGAGACUAAGUAAUUAUCAUAUCUCCCCUUCCAUUCCCAAAGAUUGUAGAAAAUGUGGCUUAAAAAAAAUACAAGAAGCAGUGUAUAAUGAAACAUAUUUCACAUGUGAUAUUAUGAAUGAACUUUGAGACUCUGAAUCAAAUGCCUCUGAAAUUCCUUAAAGUACUGUUUUUAAAAAUAACUUGUUUCUUCAUGGAAUCUUGAUGACACUUUAUUUUUUCAUUCUCUCUGUUUUCUUUUCACAGCCAUAAUUAGACACAUAUAGGUUACUGGCUGGUAACGUCUCCUUGAAAACAAUGAAAUCUGCAUUUAAAAUCAUGAAACAAAUCUGGAAGAAGUAUUUUAUAUUUUGUAAAGAAAACUUGCUUGUGGUCUAAGAUCCUUUAUGCCAAGUUUCAGUGAAUUCUUGCAGCCAAGUUAUACACUUUCUCUGUCAUUCUUUUUAGUUUUAAUAGACAGCUUGGCUAUGUGGUAUUGUUAUUGAAAUGCUAAAAGGAAAACUCAACAACUCAUUAUGUUAGGGAACUAGCAGCAGUAGACAGUUAUUAUGAUUUUUAGUGUUGUUUCUGUUCAGCAGGUAUUAACAUGUUUGGAAACAGGGCAAAAAAGAAGGUAAUAAAUGCUAGAUUUUUAUUUUAUUUUAUUUUAUUUUUUAUUAAUUUUUUUCUGGGAGGAUGAUUAUGCUUCAACACGCUGCCAGAGACAGCAAGUAACUUGCAGAAAGCAUUCUUCAAAGCAGAAAUAUUUGGGGAGUAGAAGCAUUGUGCAUUGUAUAUUGUAUACCAACCUUUUGCGAGGUUGUGUCAGAGUGGUGAAAGAAAUUAAAAAUCAAACCAAAGCAAACAAAAAAACCACUGUAUUUCAUUACCUUCACCUACACACUAGGAAUCUGAUAUAUGGAGAAUAUGAAUCUAGCAAUCAAGGUUUCCUAUCUCAACAAUAACAUCUGCUCAAUGGCCAAAACAGAUGCUUCCCUAUAAACAAAACUGAUAUUUCUGUGCCAUAGUAGAGGAUUUCUAAAGCUACUACGAAAGAGAAUGUAAAAAUGUUGAAGGCUGAAUGCAGUUCUUCCAUAACAAACUAGCACUUAAUCUGGGAAUGGACAAAGCACUUGUGGAUGCCUAUUUUAGUCAAGAGAUGUGAAAUGUAGAGGGAGAGUAUGUGAUUCACUUACAAACAGUGGAUGGCAUUAGAUAUAAGACUUGUAGAUGGUUGAAGGCAAAGGUUAUGAAUCUGAUUCAUAACCUGUAGAGAUGACCCAUUUGAUGUUUUGGCACACUUUGUUGAGUGUAUAUAGAUCCAACCUCUAUCAGUGCUCAUAGUAUCAUGGCUGCAGUCUUGGAUGUUGAAUACAGCAGGACCCAUUUGUACAAAAAAAGCAAGAUGAUCCUAUUUAAUACUAAAAAAAGGUCAACUGACAAAACAUGGAUCAUUUGAAAAAUCAAAUACCCUCUUUAAAAGCAGAACAAAAAUAGGUCAAUUACUUUUCAGAUAUCUGCAAGUGCCGUGUGCAGUCACCCCAUAGCUGCUCUGUAAAAGCUGCCAGUUCGGUCUGGUAGUGCUAGAGAAGGGCUACUGCUGGGAAGUAACUAAGAUGCUCCCUCAUUUAACUCAGACCAUAGAACAGCUGCUGGAUACGAAUGCCUUUCAGUCACCAUUGAUCAGGGAUCGAUUUGAGCUAGUGACCUAGAAAUAAAAGGCUGCAUACUGAAGAAUAAAUUUCCUAUUCUGUUCUGUCUUUGGUAAUGAGAAAUGUAACUGUCUGCUGCAUUUAGCUUUCAACUGUCAAAUAUAAAAGAAAUAGAUGACCUUGAAAUGUAAUAAUAUGAAAAAUCUCUAAUACCUCAGGCAGUUUUUCCUUUUAUAUGAUUUUUUUGUGUGCCUUUGUUGCUUACUAGUUUGUUUUUUGUUUUUUGUUUUUUUUUUUAAUAUGCCCUCACUGAAGUUGAUAGUACGGUAUUUCUAACAUUAGGCAAAUACAGGAAACUAAUAUAUUGUCUUCCAUGCUUUCUCAUAAAAACUUGUUUUAAGAAUGCUUUCUCAAUCCUUAACUUCUUAUAUUGCAUUCAAAUCCUCAGGGAGGUUGUACUUUCAGUUUCCAGGCUAGACUUCUCAGAACUUAGAUUCCAGCCCUUGGCUUCGCAAGGACUAAUUGAAUGGCCUUGGCAAACUGUUUAUAGUUUCUCCAUCUCAGUUUCCCAAUUACAAAUGGGAAAAAGAAAUGUUUCCCUACCCUGGGAAUACUUUGAAAUUAAAGUUACAGAUAACUGAAAGACAUUCUUACACAUAUAUGAAUAAACAAACCUUGACAAUCUUAUUGGGCUACUUUAGCUAGCUAAUGUUUCCUUUUAAGGUUGAGUUGGGAAUACAAGGCUGAAAUAUCAGAUUUAUGGAUAUCAUUUUCAAGCUUAGGGUUCAUAGAGAUAAAAACAAACAACACCCCUCUCUCCUCAACCACUGAGAAAAAUGGGUCAAUUGAAAAUUAUCACAAUGACAGGUUUUUCCUUUCAUUAGAAUUAUGAAACACUCAGCGUUAGUAAGAAUUGUAGAGAUUUUUCUGACAGAAUUAAUUAUUCUGAAUGAUUAGUUUGUUAUGCUCCUUGCAGGCACCAAGUUUGGAAGAGGAAGUGCUUUGUCUUUCGAUUAAAAAUAUCCAAACAGCUCUGUGGAGUCAUGAUUUGAGAAACCAAAACAAGUCCUUAACCAUAGAUAAAUGAAGGUUGGCUGAUUUCAGUUUACAGAAAGACAGAGGAAGCCCUCUGCUCUGACCCCAUGCCCUCUGGCAUCACAGCUGGUGCAUGAGCACAAAGACAACUUGGAUGUAGAUGCUUCUGUGGGCACUUUACACAAGCUAGAUUGUAAAUUUGUCCAUUUAUGAGUGUCCUGCGGGGGUUCCCACCAACUCAGAAGACAAAGUAGGGAUUGAAGCAAACAAAGCAUAUCCAUAAAAGCUCCUCUGAUUGCCACUAUUAAUAAAAUGAAGGCCAUAAACAAAUUUGUUGUGUGCUGUUUCACAAGUGGGGGAGCAGGAAUUCAAGAAAUACCUUCCCUGAAAUGAACAGGGUGCAUGUGCUACAGAAGUUGAAUGGAAGAAGCAUAUAUGCAAUAUGAAAAAUGACUCUGGCUGCCAGAAAUGUUUUGCUUUACACUUAUUAUUAUGGGGCUGUGGACAUGGAUUUCAUCCUAUCAAAAAUCUCCGACUGACUUGGUAAAGUUUGCAAGGUCUCAUCUGCAGCAAACAUAAAAUAUAUAUUGGGAUUUCUGGAGUGUUUUCUUUUUCUCUAUGAAAAUUCAGAAAUGAGAAGAAUACUUUUGAAACUGUCUUUGCACAUGUUGCCAUGCUUUACUGAGAUACACCUUCAACUCGCUUAUUGUUCAUUUUCUUUCAGUCUUCCUAACAAUAAAGAGAAAAUGCUUAUUUUUGAUGCCAGCACCUCUAUGAAGGAAUAAUACAAAGCAUUAGAUGUGUUCCAAAAAUCACAGCAAUGUUAAACAAAUGACUCAAUUUCUGGGGAAUUAUUUAUAGACAAAACGACAUUUCUUUUGAAAUGCCAGGCCUGGUGGUGCCUUCCGGUAGUAUGUACAGCAAGACUGAUUCACACAAUGGUUCACAUACUUUCUUGGGCUCACUGCACUGGUUUCCUUCAUAUGUUUAAGGAGUUCUGCAAAACACUGCAGAGGCUGGGAAAGUGAAGAAUGAGGAUACCAAAGUACAGGCUAAAGAGAGGUUGAUAACUUAGUAAUCAUCUCCACAGUUUUUGUUGAUGGAAGCACUUCCUGGUUGACUAUGCAUGUACCUGUUCUGCUGAAGUCCACCCUGAACUGCAGGUAUCUGUGUGGAAACUACUGCUUCUCAAAGCUGUGCUAUGAAGUCCUGUACAUUUAUUGUUGACUGGACAAUAAAGAUCCAAGGCAAAAAACGUUAACUAUAAGUGGAUGUUCCCAGAAAGUACAGGAGUCAAGCAAAUGGUAAAGAGUACCUGUUGCCCUGCAGUAGUACUCUUGACUAGGGGUAAAUAUUAUUAGGAUAUUUUGAAUCAGUCCCUGGCAACUGAGGUGCGCAAUAAAUGCCAGAAUCACAGGGCAUUUGAACAUGAAGAUACUGCUUGUUCUGUAAAUUCAUUGUACUGAACUUGGAUCCUUUUUUCAGAUAAUUGUUGACUUAAGAGUUAGGAGGAACUUUACGCUGAAGAAAACUGGAUAAGUAGCAUGGCACUUAAUUUACUUCCCAGGGGACUUAGAAUCAAACAUUGCCAAGAUGUCCACUUGGAUAUUUAUUUAUUUAUUUUUUUUAUUUUUUUGGUUAGCUUUAAUCAGUGCCAGGUAAGUGACGGGUAGAAACCAGAUACCUAGUGUAGCUGGAAUUUAUGGUCUGGAAACAAGUAAGAAAAGCCAGUUUCCGUGUUUUACAUCUCAAGCCUAAUAUCACGUGGUCACACUCUAUCAUUGCAGAAAUGCUGACAGCAGUGCAGGAAAUAGACUGGAGAAACGCCCUCAUUUUAUUUCAUUUGGAGCUCAUUUGUUCUGAAACAUCCAGUGACAAAAUUAUGAUGUGGUUUUAACAGGAGUAUGUGUCUAAACUCAUACUCCUGCUUUUUCUGCAAAUCCGGGUUAGAAGAUCUCAUUUUUCUCCUCCCACACACACUCUCUGCCAACUACACAAACAAUGACCUGCAUUCAUCCACACUGUAACUCUGUUGACAUCAUCAGACUACAGCAGAGACAAAUUUGGUAGUGCAAGGCAGUGCUAUGAAAUAGUUUGAUUUUGCUCUCUUGCCCAAAGAAAAUGCAUCUGGAAACAUCAUACGUUGAUGCUGACAAGAAUGUCUUCAUCAUGAUCAGUUGUGUUUUGUAGAUCUCCAAGGACAGAAACUCUACAACCUCCCUUGGGAUCCUGUUCCAGAAUUUCACCACUCUCAGAAUGAAGAGCCUUUACUUAUGUCCAAGUGGAAUUUCUUGAGUUACUUCUUGUCACUGGAUAUCUCUGUGGAGUCUGUCUUCUUUACUCCUCUCAAGAGAUGUUUAUAUGCAUAUACAUAUUUAUAUUCCUUCUGAGCCUUCUCUUCCUGAAACUCAACAAUCCAGGCUCUCUCAGUCCCUCCUCUUAUGUCAAAUUUGCCAAUCCUGUAAUUGAUUUUAUAGCCCUGCACUGAAUUUGCUCCAGUUUUUUUUGUCUCUCUUCUUACUGGACCUGCGUAGAAUGAGAACCAGCAUUCCAGAUGUGCUUCCCCAGAGCAGAAUAAAGGAGAAGGAUUACCUCCACUGACAUGAGCUGUAUGCAUUCCAAGAGCAAGAUGGGCCUCCUCUUUUGUGAAAGAACAUACUGCUGGUUCAUGACUGAACUUGGUGUCCAUGAGGAUUCCCAUGACCUCUUCUAGAGAGCUGCUUUCCAACUGGUCAAUCUUCAGUAUGUACCAGAGCAUGGGACUGUUCCUUUCCAAAUGCAGGUCUUCACAGUUUCUUUUGUGUUGCUUCAGGAAGCAGAUUUCUCCAGCCUGUCUAGGUACCUCUGAGCACACCCACCUGUUUUAUCAACUGUUUCACCCAGAACUUGUUGAAGAAACAUCUUGUUACAUCAUCCUGGUCGCUGAUAAACUUUUAGACACAGUGGGAUAUUUCUGAAAUCAGUAGAUACCUACUUAUUUAUGAAGAUGAUGCAUUUAUCACCAUAUGCCGAUUUUUUAACAAAAGGAACUGGUAUAUCACACAUGCACUGCAAUUGUAUGAUAAUGAUAGAACAUGUGGGUUUUGUUGAUAUUGUUGUGGUGGAUUUGUUUGUUGUUUUUGUUUGUUUGUUUGUUUGUUUUUCCCCCUGCUUUCUUUAGAUUAUAACAUUAUGGUCUGACUUUUGGGCUUUGAGUUGUGUGGUAAAAAUGAUUAGUAAACUUAAUUCUCUACCACUCA